CUCAACCAACACGCGUCUAUCAAUUUUCAAACGUAGCUUAGAUAUGACCACAUCCACUUCCGCAUGAAGCCUCGUGUCUAAAUCUAGGCCAUAAAUGUCUGAGACCUAUAAUAUGUUGAUGAAAAACAGUAUAAUAGGGGACCUUUAAAUGACUGAGUGACAACAUCAGUCUACUGCCUCCCACUGCACGAACACAAUAACAACAUACACACCGCCCAGACAGCCCACUCACACAUAUCUGGCAUUCCUUACGUGGCUGACCACAAAGAUGGGCGAUCAGGCAUCCCUGUUAUGACCGUAAAUACACAGGCAUACACGCCUUUGCUACCACAUGACUGAUCCCUUCUACCGCCACACAAUGCACUGCUAACACCGGCGAUCAAUACAUCGACAGACAGCGAUAAGCUUGGACCAGACAGAGAGAUGAUUCAGCGGUCUUCAGCAUGAGAAAGUUGUAAGAGGACACUGUGGGCUCUGUUGCUGUUGGCACACUCUGGUGUUUUCAGGAUCUCAGAGCGAGUGUGUGCGCUGUUUGGAGAUAGACGAGCUGCUCUCCUACACAUCCAGCGCUUCCCUCUCCCAUCCAAACAAUGUCCCACUGCUCAGGAACAUCCUUCCCAUCGCAAACCAAACACUUUAAAAAAAAAAAAAAAAAAUUUCCAGGUUUCCACCAGUAUGUGGCAAGCUGGGCGUAAGCUCAGUGGAUAGUAUGAUGGACUUUGAAUCAGGGGAUAGCAAGUUCGAGUCCCACUGCAGUCAGCAUGUCGUUGUGUCCCUGGGCAAGAA